AAAGCUCGUAGUUGGAUUUCGAGGCCUGGGUGGCUGUCACCCUAUGGGUAGGCGGGCCGCCUGGGUCUCUUAUUUCCGGGGACGGCGUCACUUUUGAUUAAGGGGCGUUCGGACGCGGAUCGUUUACUUUGAAAAAAUUAGAGUGUUCAAAGCAGGCCUUCGCUUGAAUACAUUAGCAUGGAAUAAUGGAAUAUGACUCUGGGCCUAUUUUGUUGGUUUCUGGGACUAGAGUAAUGAUUAAUAGGGACAGUUGGGGGCGUUCAUAUUCCGAUGUCAGAGGUGAAAUUCUUGGAUUUUCGGAAGAUGAACUUCUGCGAAAGCAUUCGCCAAGGAUGUUUUCAUUAAUCAAGAACGAAAGUUAGGGGAUCGAAGACGAUCAGAUACCGUCGUAGUCUUAACCAUAAACUAUGCCGACUCAGGAUCAGUGGAAGUUCGAUUUCGACUCCAUUGGCACUGUGUGAGAAAUCAAAGUUUUUGGGUUCCGGGGGGAGUAUGGUCGCAAGGCUGAAACUUAAAGGAAUUGACGGAAGGGCACACCAGAAGUGGAGCCUGCGGCUCAAUUUGACUCAACACGGGGAAACUUACCAGGUCCAGACACAGUAAGGAUUGACAGAUUGAGAGCUCUUUCUUGAUUCUGUGGGUGGUGGUGCAUGGCCGUUCUUAGUUGGUGGAGUGAUUUGUCUGGUUAAUUCCGAUAACGAACGAGACCUCAGCCUGCUAACUAGGUGCGCGAUCCACGCGAUCGUAGUACCUUCUUAGAGGGACUAUUCGUGUUUAACGAAGGGAAGUUUGAGGCAAUAACAGGUCUGUGAUGCCCUUAGAUGUCCUGGGCCGCACGCGCGCUACACUGAUUCAAGCAACAAGUUACAACCUUGACCGAAAGGCCCGGGUAAACUUCAAAAUUGAAUCG
rnacentral:rRNA from 1 species